AGUCUACCUGCCCACUGAAUAAUUUAAAUGGCCGCAGUAUACUAACUGUGCAAAGGUAGCAUAAUCAUUAGUCUUUUAAUUGAAGGCUGGUAUGAAUGGUUGGACGAGAUAUUAACUGUUUCAUAAAAAUUUAUAAUAGAAUUUUAUUUUUUAGUCAAAAAGCUAAAAUAAAAUUAAAAGACGAGAAGACCCUAUAAAUCUUUAUAUAUAAAUUAUUAGAAUUUUGUAGAUUUUUUUUAUUAUAAUAAUUGAUUAUAUUUUAUUGGGGUGAUAUUAAAAUUUAAUAAACUUUUAAUUAUUUAAAUCAUUAAUUUAUGAAUAAUUGAUCCGUUAAUAACGAUUAAAAAAAUAAGUUACUUUAGGGAUAACAGCGUAAUUUUUUUGGAGAGUUCAUAUCGAUAAAAAAGAUUGCGACCUCGAUGUUGGAUUAAGAUAUAAUUUUAGGUGUAGCCGCUUAAAUUUUAAGUCUGUUCGACUUUUAAAUUCUUACA
rnacentral:rRNA from 1 species